UACAGAGGGUGCAAGCGUUAAUCGGAAUUACUGGGCGUAAAGGGCGCGUAGGUGGUUAUGUAAGUGAGAUGUGAAAUCCCUGGGCUCAACCUGGGAACUGCGUCUUAUACUGCGUAGCUGGAGUACAUGAGAGGGUAGUGGAAUUUCCGGUGUAGCGGUGAAAUGCGUAGAUAUCGGAAGGAACACCAGUGGCGAAGGCGGCUACCUGGCAUGAUACUGACACUGAGGCGCGAGAGCGUGGGGAGCAAACAGG
rnacentral:rRNA from 1 species